ensembl:lncRNA
CCCCGCCCCGUCAGGACCCGCGGCAGCUGCCCCCGUCCCCCCGUCCCCGAGGAGCGACGCCGAAGGAGCGGGAGCGACUCACUCAUGGGAGCGCGGCGGGCGAGGCCGGCGACACCUCCGGCUUCCGAGGCGCCGGCGAAGUUAAUUGCACUGAAGUUCAAGUUGUCUUUUCACCCAUCAGGAGUGGGCGUUUAAAGGAAGGAGAGCGAGGAGGAGGAGGGGGAGGGGGGAGAGCCUCUCUCGCUCGCUUUCGCACACACACACACACACACACACACACACAUACACAGAGAGAGAGAGAGAGAGACGCGCACACAGACACACGCACACAGACGCGCACGCCCGCCCGCUCCCGCGCUGCCUCAGCAGGAGGAGCCCGGCCGGAACACACCAGGGCAGCACCAGGCCCUGAUGCUGCACAGUACCUCAAUCCAUUCAGCUUCUCUUCAAGAUGGUAACUACUUUCCGCUCCACAUCUCUGCUGCAGAAGAUCUUGUGAUUACCUGAAAAAGUGAAUUGCAUCCUGUAGAUUUCCCCUUAAAACUUCUGCUUCACAGAAGAGAUCAGCUUGUGACAGAUGCGUCAGCAAUGUCAGACUCACUUCUCUGUUGCCUAAUUGCCCUCUCCACCUUCUGUCAAUCUGAAACUCUCAUUUUGGAAAGGACUGAAGGAGUUGUAUUAAUAUUUGUGCUAUCCACAUUUUUCCUGCAUAUUGUCUGCUCCUUCCCUUGGUGUCUGGUUUGUCUUGGCUGCUUUUAAAAAUUCUGUUGCCUCUAGUGAGGGACUGCCAGAUUAAACCAGUACAGAGAAUCCAGGUGACUGUCUACUUUUACAAAUAUAGGUUGUGUAUAAUAAAUUCAGGUUUUACAUCUAUGCAAAUUAAGUCAUCAUAUGAUUAUGACUACAUGCAUUUUUUUAUCAAAUAUGGCAUAUAUUUCACAAAUUAUAUUUAACUUAUACACAUGUUGCUAUUCUGAAUACCUGACUAGGAAUUACAAAGUGUGUCACUAGAUCUUAGUAAGUGGGCUUAUGGAACAAGAAGAAAUAAGAGAAAAUCACCUCUUUUCCUUGCAUUCCUGACAAGUCCAGUGUAAGGGCUUUUCCUACUCUAGAUGGCAAUAUAAACACCUUACCACAGAGCUGUUGAGAGAUAAAAGUACAUCUUGUUGUUGGAAACUUAAAGAAUGUAUGAAAAACAAAACAAAAUACCCUAAAAAAGGAAGUUUUAAAGUAAUGUGUCUUUGGUCUAGUGUUUGUCACAUCUACUUGGUAUGGCCUUCCUCUAAUGUUUCAGUCAUGCAGUGUAAGACAUUAGUCACAAUGUCAAAAUAAGCACAUUACUUCUGCAAAAAUGUAUUUUCACCUCAGGAAUAUUGUGAAGUGAAAAUAGGAUUUAGCACAAUUCUUCCUUUUGAGUUUUUCUACAGACAGGACAGUUUUAGUGUAAAGCUCUAAAUCUUGCAAGAUUAUUCCCAGCAUUAGGUACGACACAUCUGGAAGAAUCUGCCAACUGAGUGCUAGCAAGGAUUACGCUGAGAAGGUAACAACUCAGUGCUUUCACUGUUAACCGUCCUCCACAACUGCUGUUUUUUGGUGUUUUUGUGUGUGUGUGUUCGUUUGUUUCUUUGUUUUCCGAAUAAAUAAACAAAUACUUUGUUGAGCUCAA